rnacentral:rRNA from 1 species
AGCUCCAGUAGCGUAUAUUAAAGUUGUUGCGGUUGAAAAGCUCGUAGUUGGGUUUCUGCGGAGGAAGCGCGGUCCGCACUUGGUGCGUGUAUCUGGUCUACCUACGCAUCUUCCAGUGAAACGCUACUGCGCUUUAUUGCGUGGCGCGGCAAUCUGGACUUUUACUUUGAGGAAAUUGGAGUGUUUACAGCGAGCGAUUGGUUUGAACAUAUUAGCAUGGAAUAAUAACCUAGAACCUUGGUUCUAUUUUGUUGGUUUCUAGACUAGGGUAAUGAUCAAUAGGGAUAGUUGGGGGUGCUCGUACCGUGUGGCCAGCGGUGAAAUGCUUGGACUCACAUGUGACGAACUUAUGCGAAAGCAUUCACCAAGGAUGUCUUCUUUAAUCAAGAACGAAAGU